rnacentral:rRNA from 1 species
AUUGAAUGCUGGCGGAAUGCUUUACACAUGCAAGUCGAACGGCAGCACGGACUUCGGUCUGGUGGCGAGUGGCGAACGGGUGAGUAAUGUAUCGGAACGUGCCCAGUCGUGGGGGAUAACGUAGUGAAAAUUACGCUAAUACCGCAUACGAUCUAUGGAUGAAAGCGGGGGAUCGCAAGACCUCGCGCGAUUGGAGCGGCCGAUAUCAGAUUAGGUAGUUGGUGGGGUAAAGGCCCACCAAGCCAACGAUCUGUAGCUGGUCUGAGAGGACGACCAGCCACACUGGAACUGAGACACGGUCCAGACUCCUACGGGGGGCAGCAGUGGGGAAUUUUGGACAAUGGGCGAAAGUCUGAUCCAGCCAUUCCGCGUGCAGGAUGAAGGCCCUCGGGUUGUAAACUGCUUUUGUACAGAACGAAAAGGUUUCUACUAAUACUAGGAGCUCAUGACGGUACUGCAAGAAUAAGCACCGGCUAACUACGUGCCAGCCGCCGCCGUAA